rnacentral:lncRNA from 14 species
CAGGGAUAACAUUUGAAUAUUAUGCAAGUGCCUGCUCAGGCCUUUUGGAGAGAACAAGGUCUCACAUGUUCUUCUAUUUUAACUGCCUGCUGCACCUCCUGAGAUCUCUGGGGAAUGCGCUUAGCAAAAGAAAAAAGUGCUGGAGCACCGUCUGACCUCUCACAUCCCAUACUCCACCCCGCAGAGCAGUUGUGAGAAGCCAACUCUGGCUUCCCUGUGGGAGACGAACCGCGGAGGCACAAGGUGCUGUUUGGAUGAGGAGCCUGACUGCAGCAUGGCAUCAGGGCUGCUGGGCGGUGCAGAGUGGUCCCACUUUGUGACGGAGAAACGCAGUCAGCAAACUGCACAGUAUGUAUGUAAUCUUGAUUAGGCACAAAUCCGCCAUGAAUAUUUCCUAUUCCAUUUAAAUCCUGCUUGUGCUUAAUUCAGCUGAAUUUGCAGCAGGAGUAAUGCCCAAGCCACAUCUGGCUUGUAAUGCACAUGGGAUCAGGCUGGGAGUUUGGGAGGAGGUGAAUCUGGAUGCAGAGGUUUGGCUUCUUAUUUAGAAAAUGACUGGUUACAUUCUCCCACGACUGCUCCAGACUAUCCCAGAGCUUAAUGAUAUUCAUAUCCAAGGGUUUUUUAAGUCUGCGUGACUAGGAAACAAUCUCAUGUCUAUGGUUUGUCUGGCCUGUUAGGAAGGAGCCUGUGCACCUGCAUUUCCCCCACCGCCUGCAUUUCCUUUGCAUCCCAUUUAUUCAAAGAGGCCAAAUGUUUGUUAAUCCUAACAAGUUAGAGUGCAAAUAAUCCCUUUUCCUCUUCCAGUAUAGUCGGCAUUGGCACAUCUUACGCAGCCCGUGGUCAGUCAGGACAACUGAAGCUCUCAGCCAGCCAUAUGGGGAUGGACAUCCUGCUCCCUCGCAAGCAGGAUCUUGAUCCCGAACGACCACACAAGCCUACAGGGACCAGGCUGGGCUAAGCAUCUCCACACACAGUAUAUGGGCUUGUUCCCCCUCAUCUCCAGCCAGGGGAGCUGAGAGCACUCAGGCAGAAGUUCAGCUGGGUUCCUCUGUGUGCUUCCUCCCAUGGCACUGACUGAGCUGCCUGCCCUGUUUUGUCCCAGCCAGCUUCCAAAGCUGAGCUGCUGAGCUCUUCAGCUCUGCCACCAGCCCUGACAAACAGCCUUUGCUCUGCUGCUUAAUGAUAUUUACAGUUUGAACUGAGUCCCCCUGACCUGACCAACGGGCGCCUUAUACGCCAUGAGCAUGCAGAUCACACAGACCUUGUCCAAGAGGCUCGAGGUUCAGAGGACAAGGUU